rnacentral:rRNA from 1 species
UACGUAGGGGGCUAGCGUUGUCCGGAUUUAUUGGGCGUAAAGAGCGUGUAGGCGGCCAGGUAGGUCUGCUGUGAAAACUCGAGGCUCAACCUCGAGACGCCGAUGGAAACCCUCAGACUAGAGUCCGGAAGAGGAGAGUGGAAUUCCUGGUGUAGCGGUGAAAUGCGCAGAUAUCAGGAAGAACACCCGUGGCUAAGGCGGCUCUCUAGUACGUGACUGACGCUGAGACGCGAAAGCGUGGGGAGCGAACAGG